GAUGAACGCUAGCGGCAGGCUUAAUACAUGCAAGUCGAGGGGUAGCAAGAUUGUAGCAAUACAAUUGUUGACGAGCGGCAAACGGGUGCGGAACACGAACACAACCGUCCUACAAGUGGGGAAUAGCCCAGAGAAAUUUGGAUUAAUACCGCGUAACAUCGCGAUGUGGCAUCAAAUUGCUAUUAUAGCUUCGUCGAUUGUUGAGCGUUGUGCGGCUGAUUAGAUAGUUGGCGGGGUAACGGCCCACCAAGUCUACGAUCAGUAACUGAUGUGAGAGCAUGAUCCGCCCAACGGGCACUGAGACACGGCCCCGACUCCUACGGGAGGCAGCAGUAAGGAAUAUUGGACAAUGAACGCAAGUCUGAUCCAGCCAUGCCCCGUGAAGGAUUAAGGUCCUCUGGAUUGUAAACUUCUUUUAUAAGGGACGAAAAAAGGUCUUUCUAGAUCGUCUGACGGUACCUUAUGAAUAAGCACCGGCUAACUCCGUGCCAGCCGCCGCAGUAAGAC
rnacentral:rRNA from 1 species